GGCUGUAUAGGGAGCUAGAGGACUAAAUGAAACACAAGCAACUACAAGAAAGUAUAUAUUUGCAACCCUUCUAAAUUGUUCAAACAAUGAUUUGGGUAUGAAAUUAAUUGCUGUGUACUUUGUAGUAGAAACAUAAUUCCCUCUAUAAUUUAGCUGCACCUGUUCUGGAUUAUCAGGAUCAUUACAAUACACAAUCCUUGAAAAACCCCUCUUCCCAAUUUGACCAUGUUCCUCUUUAAACGAACACUU
rnacentral:misc_RNA from 1 species